GACGAACGCUGGCGGCGUGCCUAAUACAUGCAAGUAGAACGCUGAAGGAGGAGCUUGCUCUUCUGGAUGAGUUGCGAACGGGUGAGUAACGCGUAGGUAACCUGCCUGGUAGCGGGGGAUAACUAUUGGAAACGAUAGCUAAUACCGCAUAAUAGUAGAUGUUGCAUGAUAUUUACUUAAAAGGUGCAAUUGCACCACUACCAGAUGGACCUGCGUUGUAUUAGCUAGUUGGUGGGGUAACGGCUCACCAAGGCGACGAUACAUAGCCGACCUGAGAGGGUGAUCGGCCACACUGGGACUGAGACACGGCCCAGACUCCUACGGGAGGCAGCAGUAGGGAAUCUUCGGCAAUGGACGAAAGUCUGAACGAGCAACGCCGCGUGAGUGAAGAAGGUUUUCGGAUCGUAAAGCUCUGUUGUAAGAGAAGAACGAGUGUGAGAGUGGAAAGUUCACACUGUGACGGUAUCUUACCAGAAAGGGACGGCUAACUACGUG
rnacentral:rRNA from 1 species